GCGACUGUGGUCCAGUCUGGUCUAGGACUCAGGCUUCCCAAGCCUGCUGCCCGGGUUCAAAUCCCGGCAGUCGCA
rnacentral:tRNA from 1 species